rnacentral:lncRNA from 1 species
CCAUGCAUCAAAGGUCAUUUUUAGGUGAUUUUUGGCUGAUUUUUGUCUGCUUUUUGUUCUUCUUGGUUUGUUCUCUAUUCCCAAUAUUUUUUUUCAUGAAUGUGAUGAAUUUGAGCUUGAAUUUGGACUUAAUUAGGCUUAAUGUGAUAAAAAUCUUCAUGACUAAUAAUUUUUGAAAAAAAGCAUAACAAGUAUAAAAUAUAAAAUAAUAAAGAUUAAUUAUCUAAUAUUU